CUAGUACGAGAGGACCGUGUUGGACUGACCUCUGGUUUACCGGUUGUGCCGCCAGGUGCAUUGCCGGGUAUCUAAGUCGGGAUUGGAUAAGUGCUGAAAGCAUCUAAGUACGAAGCCAGCCACAAGAUUAGAUUUCUUAGGGUCGUCAAAGACGAUGACGUUGAUAGGAUGCAGGUGUACAGGCAGCGAUGUCAUAGCCGAGCAUUACUAAUUGCCCGUUCACUUUUGGUU
rnacentral:ncRNA from 1 species